GAGGCAAAAGUAGGUUUACAGUUGUGAGUACAUGAAACAGUUUAUUCUAGUAUUUUUUAUUUCAUUAUUUUCCAUAUGAACUGUAAACCCACUUUUGUCCCAC